GGCCGGGGGGCAGAGGGAGGGGCCCCCGUGUGCCAGGGGCGGGGAGACCGGGGCGGGAAGGCCGCCAGGGCGCUGAGGCCGCAGAGAGCGGAGGUGGCAGCGGGCGGCCCGUCCCUUCCAGGCGGAGCUCUGGCCCUGGGCCCCCUCCCCUUCCGCGGCUUCCCCUCCCCGCCCCACGGUGCUGCAGCGUGUGCGCUCCCUGCGCGCAGGCCACACCCGGGCGUCCUGCGGCCUAGGGCGCAAGUUGACGAACCGUGCCCGGAACCUUCUGGGAAGCCCGACCCGGCGUGGACGGUCCCGAGUGCGAGUGCCUGGGCCCGGGUGCCCUGCGCACAGCGGCGGAGAGCGAGUCCGGGCGAGGAUUCGGACACAGACUGCGCGUGCCUGAGUGCCGGCGGCGGCUCCUCCAGCUCCGCAAGUAGGUGCAAUCCACGCUUUGCAGAACAGGGGGCCCGCGGGGUCUCCCUUGCCCGGGCUCGAGGCCUCGCUGCAGAAGUCCUGGCCCUUCCGUCUCGAAGCCCUCGGCCAGACUUAGACUUCCUCCUCCCGGAGACCGGGAGCCGGCGCCCGCGAGGCGCCCGCCGCUCUGCAGGGGUCUUGCGCUCUGCCUUCCGCCCUGUCCGCCCUCUCGUGGAUUUCCGAGGCCCGGCCGCGCGGGUUUCGGGCUCUGGACUCGCCGCCGCCCCGCUGGACACCCCGAGCCCGCCCUUCGCUCCCGCACGGCGCGCGCGGAGCCGGGGCCCGGCCGGCCCCCACCUCCACCCCGCCUCAGCCCCUCUGACCUGCCGAGGGCCCAGGCAUAGGAUGAGGGGGGGCGAGGUGAGGCUGGGGAGAGCCCAGUCAGUUGGGGGAGACCCCAGAAAAGACUUAGUGGAGCAAAAUUUAACCGAGGAGCCCCUGGGUUUCUGGGCCGCUGGUUGGUCCCCCAUCAUUUGGUGUUUGGGGCUUGUGCAUCAGGGCUGGGGAAAGCGGCGAGGAGUUAUAAUAACAUAUUUUACUGAAGUUUGUCCAUGA
rnacentral:lncRNA from 1 species